UGAUGUCGAGGUGGACACAAUUCCCUUGGUAUGAAGCAGAAUGACACUUAAAAAUCAUGCUUUCUCAGUAGAGAGAGCCUCUGACCUGUAAUCUUGGCCUGUUGUUUGUUGGAGAAUAGUUUCUGCUUAAAAGGAAAAAGAACAAGAGAGCCUCUCCUUCGUACCAUUUUCUUGGCAGCUGUGUCAUUGGUCUAUUCAGUCAUCUGCUUAACCAUCUGAAAUAUGCACGUACCUGCCAGAAAUGAAGGAGGCAUAUAUGCCAGGCAGCCAUUUGAUUGAACACUCAACU
rnacentral:lncRNA from 1 species